GCUUGCUCUCGGGUGACGAGUGGCGGACGGGUGAGUAAUGUCUGGGAAACUGCCUGAUGGAGGGGGAUAACUACUGGAAACGGUAGCUAAUACCGCAUAACGUCGCAAGACCAAAGAGGGGGACCUUCGGGCCUCUUGCCAUCAGAUGUGCCCAGAUGGGAUUAGCUAGUAGGUGGGGUAACGGCUCACCUAGGCGACGAUCCCUAGCUGGUCUGAGAGGAUGACCAGCCACACUGGAACUGAGACACGGUCCAGACUCCUACGGGAGGCAGCAGUGGGGAAUAUUGCACAAUGGGCGCAAGCCUGAUGCAGCCAUGCCGCGUGUAUGAAGAAGGCCUUCGGGUUGUAAAGUACUUUCAGCGGGGAGGAAGGUGUUGCGGUUAAUAACCGCAGCAAUUGACGUUACCCGCAGAAGAAGCACCGGCUAACUCCGUGCCAGCAGCCGCGGUAAUACGGAGGGUGCAAGCGUUAAUCGGAAUUACUGGGCGUAAAGCGCACGCAGGCGGUCUGUCAAGUCGGAUGUGAAAUCCCCGGGCUCAACCUGGGAACUGCAUUCGAAACUGGCAGGCUAGAGUCUUGUAGAGGGGGGUAGAAUUCCAGGUGUAGCGGUGAAAUGCGUAGAGAUCUGGAGGAAUACCGGUGGCGAAGGCGG
rnacentral:rRNA from 1 species